AGGACGAACGCUGGCGGCGCGCUUAACACAUGCAAGUCGAGCGAGAACCAGGACUUCGGUCCUGGGGACAGCGGCGAACGGGUGAGUAACACGUGGAUAACCUGCCCUCGGCACCGGGAUAGCCCGAGGAAACUCGGAUUAAUACCGGAUAGCCCUUCCGACUCUCGAGUCGGUCCGAAAAGGUAGCUUCGGCCUCUGGCCGAGGAUGGGUCCGCGGCGGAUUAGCUUGUUGGUGGGGUAACGCCUACCAAGGCUUCGAUCCGUAGCUGGUCUGAGAGGACGAUCAGCCACACUGGGACUGAGACACGGCCCAGACUCCUACGGGAGGCAGCAGUGGGAAUCUUGCGCAAUGGGCGAAAGCCUGACGCAGCGACGCGCGUGAGGAAGAAGGCCUCGGGUUGUAAACCUCGUUUCGAGGUAGGACGAAGCUACGUCGGUGAAUAGCCCAGAGGUGACGGUACCUCCAGAAGAAGCCCGGCUAACUACGU
rnacentral:rRNA from 1 species